AUUGAACGCUGGCGGCGUGCUUAACACAUGCAAGUCGAACGAAGUGGCGAACGGGUGAGUAACGCGUAAUCAACCUGCCCUUCCGAGGGGGACAACAGUUGGAAACGACUGCUAAUACCGCAUACUGAAGGAGGGGAUUGCGUCUGAUUAGCUCGUUGGAGGGGUAACGGCCCACCAAGGCGAUGAUCAGUAGCCGGUCUGGGAUGAUGGACGGCCACAUUGGGACUGAGACACGGCCCAGACUCCUACGGGAGGCAGCAGUGGGGAAUCUUCCGCAAUGGACGAAAGUCUGACGGAGCAACGCCGCGUGAGUGAUGACGGCCUUCGGGUUGUAAAGCUCUGUUAAGCGGGACGCGGUACCGGAAUAGAAAGCCACGGCUAACUACGUGCCAGCAGCCGCGGUAAUAC
rnacentral:rRNA from 1 species